UACAUGGGGUGCAAACGUUGCUCGGAAUCAUUGGGCGUAAAGCGCGCGUAGGCGGUUACUUAUGUCGGAUGUGAAAGCCCUCGGCUUAACUGAGGAAGUGCAUUCGAAACUGGGUAGCUAGAGUACUAAAGAGGGUCGCGGAAUUCCCGGUGUAGAGGUGAAAUUCGUAGAUAUCGGGAGGAACACCGGUGGCGAAGGCGGCGACCUGGGUAGAUACUGACGCUGAGGCGCGAAAAGCGUGGGGGAGCAAACAGGG
rnacentral:rRNA from 1 species